ACGAACGCUGGCGGCGUGCCUAAUACAUGCAAGUCGAGCGGACAGAUGGGAGCUUGCUCCCUGAUGUUAGCGGCGGACGGGUGAGUAACACGUGGGUAACCUGCCUGUAAGACUGGGAUAACUCCGGGAAACCGGGGCUAAUACCGGAUGCUUGUUUGAACCGCAUGGUUCAAACAUAAAAGGUGGCUUCGGCUACCACUUACAGAUGGACCCGCGGCGCAUUAGCUAGUUGGUGAGGUAAUGGCUCACCAAGGCAACGAUGCGUAGCCGACCUGAGAGGGUGAUCGGCCACACUGGGACUGAGACACGGCCCAGACUCCUACGGGAGGCAGCAGUAGGGAAUCUUCCGCAAUGGACGAAAGUCUGACGGAGCAACGCCGCGUGAGUGAUGAAGGUUUUCGGAUCGUAAAGCUCUGUUGUUAGGGAAGAACAAGUGCCGUUCAAAUAGGGCGGCACCUUGACGGUACCUAACC
rnacentral:rRNA from 1 species